UUGCUUCAAGCUUUGAGGAAGAAUAUAUCCUUUUUCUGCUGUGGAUCUGUCUGUUGAAUUGAGAUCACAUCAUUGUUGACCUUGCUACAAACUGUAUGAUUCAGAAAUGCUCCAGCUUACCUGUAGGACCCAAUAGCACCUCAAGGUUCCAGGAAUUAUCUGCAAUCAAUCAUGGUGGGUUGGAUUUUAUGGGUGACCUGGUGACUUCACAUAGAAAUAUGAACAGAAAUCGAAGAUGCUGUCAUGCUAAAGGGCUGCCUCAAACUUCAAAGAUUGUGAUGUAGCUGGUAGGUCAUAGGUGAAUUUAUGAACCUUCAUGCAGGUAUACAAUUACACAGUUUGUAAAACUAAUAAGUUGAGUUCAACAAGUGAAUAUUCCUA